rnacentral:pre_miRNA from 1 species
AGGGUAGCGCCAGAUCUUGGGCUCUGUCCCCGGGGUCCUGUGCUCCCGGUCCUGUGCUGUUGGAAUCAAGAUGCCCGGCCGCGCAGCCCCCU